rnacentral:lncRNA from 1 species
GUGAUGAUGGCAACGCUAGGUUCAUGUCAUGACAGUCAAGUGCUGCUGAGUGUGUCGCCCUCCAUUUCCACGACGCAGAGGAAAUGGUUACAUGUCUAACGCGCCAGUCCCAUGCAGUGUUCAUCACCUGUUUGACUGAACCAUUUCACUGUGAGGAGGAAGCCGCUAUGGGCUUUCAGUCCGUUUGCUUUAGGCAGUGAGGAAGGAGACAGAAGCGGAUGAAGCUUUAAAGGAGUUUAAUCUCUGGAGGCCGGAUUGCCUGUGUGGACCCCAGCUUGCCAAACGUAGGGGCUCGUGGACUGUUCCCUUCUCCUCCACACUUCUGAGAGGAGGUGCCUUCAAAAAAUAAAUAAAAUCCCCCUCGUCCAGCCUCCGGGCCCUGAUUUCCCCCUGGCUAGACAGCCCCAGCGCACCACUUGCCUUUUCUAUGUUCAGUAUUCUGUCUUUUUACCAAAAGAAGAUGGACUCCUGUGUUGAUGUGCUGUUUCUGCUGCUAAAUGUAAGACUGUAAACUCCACAUAAGUGCUCCUACACGCUCCCACCGCCGUAGCCCAGCAGUGUGGAGGGCAGUGCUAGUUAUGCUAGCUCCAUCAGUUGUCAUGUGUCGUCAGGCUGUGAUGUCGUCUUUGACGUUGCUCUAUAAACUGAUCAUCAUAAACGUGAUGCCUCCUUGUCAUUUUUGAGUGGCGUUGGUUACUCGUG